GGGGGGAACCGUAAGAGAGUGAUGUUCCGAUUUUGCAGGCCCUAAAAAUUGGAUCCUCAGUUAAUCUUGGAGAGCCCGAGAUCCCGGGAAGUCAAGGGGUGCGGUGCAGUGCGGUACAGUGAGGAAGAGGAGCGGCAGGGUGGAGCAGAGCGAGCAGCGCCCGGCGGGCAGGUAUGUAGGAUGUGGGGGCAGCCCCGGCGCCCCCUUCUGCGGAGCGCUGGGGUGAAACAGCACCGGCAAGGAGAGUACACCGGUCCCUGUGCCGAAGAAGGCAAAAUAGAAGGGAUGGGAGGUGGGAGCUUUUUCUCUCGAGUUACCGAAAAACUGCAAACCAGAUACAUGUGUCAUUUGCCAAAGAUUACGUUUGUAAGAGGCUAAAGAGCUACAACACCAUGAAAAUAUUCCAGCCACAGUUUUUAGGAGUCAAAGAGCAGCUACAAGUCUUCUUCAAGCACUAUUUGGGUUUGUGGGGUUUGUUUUGGUUUUUUCUUCUCCAGGUCUUUUUCUUGCCCUGUAUUUUAUUCCCCUAAUCUUUAAUUCAGUGUGAUAACUCCGGAAAAAAGCACUGUGUUGCCCAAGAAUAUUUUAACAGUAAACACAAAGAAUAUAAAAUUACGUAUUUAAACCUCGAGAACAGUCCAAGGUUUUUAACUUGUCCAUUUUCUCCCUGCAUUUCAUUAUUUCCGUCUGCAUAACUCUGUGGAUAAUUCUUAAGGGAUAUUUAAUUUUCGGUUUGAUUCCUGAAUCAGGGAAAGCUUUUAUUACACAGGGGCACCUAUUACCUAGGCAGGUGUGAUGGCUCUCUUAUGCAGACUGACAUAUAAAAUAAUAGUGACAUUUAGGAUGUAAGAAACCACACGUCUUAACAUUAAAGUUGGCAGCGAGUGUAAAAAUAUUCUGUUCUGAAAAAUUCUGGCAGUGGCAGCUGAACACGCCAAGUCUGGUGCCUGCUCGAUACAGGCUCUCUGUGGAUGGUAUUCCACAGCUACAGGAAUAAAUAAAUAAAAUCUCCAGCUUUUAACUAAGGCGAUUUAAUUCAGACCUCUCCACCCAGCGUAGCCGCCGUGGGAGAUGUAUACUCCAGUGUUUACUCGGAUCCCUUUCUGCCACUAUUCUAUCUUGCCUUUCCCUUACGGCACCAGCGAAGCUUUCUGGUCCCCGCAGCCAUGUUUCCCGGUUCCACGUUCUCUGCCCAACCUCCGCCCGUCCAAGAAACUUCUGAAAGUUCAUCGGAAGGGGAACUCUCUACACCUCGAUGGUUAAUGCCACUGUUUUAACGCUACCUCUCCCCGAGCUGCGCAGGCUUCUCCAAGAUCUAUCUUUAGAGGGAGUUCCCCGAAGUCUCCGGAGGGAACAUAGCUGCGGAUUUCAAACCCGGUCCGGUUCCAGUCGCACAAUGCCUGCUGCAAGAGAAAGGGGAGAUAACUCACCAGAGUUUCAGGAAUGCGCAGGUAGCCCAAAGGUCUCAGCGGUGCUCCUUUCCUCUGCGGAAUAUUAUCUUGCAUCGAGGCAGUUCCCAGUCUAUAUUUGACGUUACCAUUUAUGCUAUCUCGAACACGAGACUCUCCCAUAGACAUUUUUUCCAGGGUUUUCAAGAAAAUUUCUCGAUGCCACAAUGUUAUGAUGGAAGGAUGCUGAAAUGACAGGCCUCGUAGACGCUUGUCUUAAUCAUCGGCUUCUUAAUUUAGUUUUAGUGCUGUGGUUUGUAUGUGUGUGCGUGUGUGUCUGCGCGUGUGUGCGCACAAGAGAAGUCUCUGACAACCUGCAGCUUCCUAAUGACUGACGAGGCAGGGCUGCUGCAGCAAAGUAACACUUCCCUGGUGUGAAGACCUCUUACUGGGAAGUUUAGUUCACUACUGUUCUCGCAAUCCUAAUCGUAUAACCUGUAACCAAAGCCCAAGGAAGAAAGAUACAGCAUGCUAAAUAGACUAACUUCUAAUCACCAAACGUUAGCACCACUACCAGCUGUUGCUGAUUAAUUGGAAGUUGGCUAUAGAUGGACAUCUAAACUUAGAUCCACAAAUGCGACUAGAAGGGUGGACCGCUGAAUGCUUCUUCCUCUCCCUCUUUGCCUCCAUUCAUCCACCCACCUUCAGUCCCAUUCACCCCUCUUCAGAAUGUUUGACUACCUCCUUCUCUUUGUUCGCGCACCGCUGAGUCCCCAUUCGCCGUGCCUUGGCAGCAGGGUAUCAGUGUCUGCUGGAUAGCCCUUACCUUAAUUCCCCAGGUAACCUGGACUGACUAAGGUAGGCUUAGAGUCAACGGGGAAUAGACUUAUACAUGCAUACAUGCAGGCGUUUACUCUACGAAUGUGAUAUUACUGACUGCUAAACCGAAGUGUCCCGACUAGUUUAAUGGAAGCAUGAUGCCAUCGAAGCGUGGUUAUUAAAUACCCUUUCUUCAUGGCUGAAAAAAAACUCAUUCAUUUCUUAAGCUGUCAGUAAAUUUUAACCCCUUGAAAGAACCUGAGAGUACAGAGCCGCUACACCCCUGGGAAGGGGAAUUGAAGGCUGGAGCUGGAGGAAGAUGGGGGGCAUGCUGUGUCCAUUGAGCUUACAGGAGAAAGAGUCUGAUUUUCCACUGACUUUUAAUUUAAAAUAAUAAUAAUUAAAAAAAUACGAGGGAGAAAAAUGUGCGGUUGAAAUUCUAUCUCUAUGAGUUAUACCCCAGAACUGCACGAAGAUCCCUGUCUGACCACUUCAUUCAAGACAUUUCAGCCCAGCUACUCACCCCCACCAUGACCCCGGAGCUGGACGCUCUCUGCCCAUCCCCUCCGCUCAGGGCGGCGGGUCCCCAGGCAGGCGCGAGCGCAGGUGAGCAGCUGCCUGUGAGCAGCGCCGGGUCCCCUCUGCCUACCCACUAGUGUUCCGCAGGGCUAGGGCCGUGCGCUCCCUUUCCACUCACACGCUGCUCCUUCAGACAUCCCACGAACCCUUCCCUGUAGGGGAGGGCUGCCGUGAGGGGCCUUCUGACAGCAACCACAGCUGGGGGCCCAACCGGGCUCCACGAUGCACAAAGCCACCACCGGAAGGGACGGGAGCGGGUGUCGUGGCCAGGGCAGAGCUCAAGGAAGAGCUGGUAUUAGGGCCGGACUCCUGCCUUUCCAAGUAAAAAGUAAACCUCCAGUUUUACACAAGGAAAAUUCUCUGCGGGAGAGGGGAAAAAAAAAAAAGUAAAAAAAAAAGGAA